rnacentral:lncRNA from 1 species
UUUUUUUCCAGGUAAUAAAAAGAAAGAAAAGCCUUGUGGAGUUGAGACACUUAUUGUAGAAGACUGUUAAUGAUAGAAAUAACGAUGUAAAUAUAAAGGUAGAGUUCCGCAAUUGUAUUCCAGUUGGGUUGUAAUUAAAUAAUGAAAGUCCAUUUUAAAUAUAUGAACUGUAUUUUGAAUGCAUAUGCAUAAUAAGUUAAUGGGCCCGAAUCCAUAAAUAUUUGUAGAAUGUCGAAUUGGAAUAAGUUAGGCUUACUACGGGCUUCGGGGGCCUUAAGCCCACCCAGGUCCUAGUGCCGGUCCGGCCCACGAAAAUGGGUCGUGACAAAUACAGAUAGUAAAAUGUUUAAAAAGGUUUUACAAUCAUUUAAAAAUUCUAAAUUAGGAAAGCCUUUUCUACUUUCCUUUCUUUUCUAUACUCGAUCGAUGCCGUAAAAUGAAAUGGGGCUCUCAUACUCUGAGCAUUCUUUUGGGCUCAUAUUGGGCUCAUUUCUCAAUAGACAGCUCCAUUGUCU